rnacentral:lncRNA from 1 species
GGGUUGCAAAAACUACAGUUUGUAGUGUGUCAUGUGCCUCUACUUCUGGUGCUAUACUGCAUAACAGAUACAACAGAAGACAGAGAUGAUGGGAUGAAGCAUUUCCUGCACAAGAACAAACAUAAUGAGAUCAAACAUGUACUGAACCGUGCCAGAAUUGAAUCCCAGCAGCCAAGGUAUAUAAAAAACAAAAGCAUGCAUGUGUGUCUCUGUGAGUGUGAAUGUCAGCUGGACAACCAACGAGCCAUUUGAGGUAACUCUUGGGAAGCUGAUAGGCUCCACUGACUCUGAUAAAAGUGAGUGUGUGUUUUUGGUGGGUGAAGUCCGAUGAGGUGAUGUCACACUCCAUUAUUCUCAGAUAGCUCAAACUGUGUGUGUGUGCAUACGUAUGAGUGUGUGAGAGCGGUCUCUAAGGAAAGGCUGUCAGGAUGGACUGGAGGCCAGUGCUAACAGAUCAUUGGAAUAGAGACUCAGGACUGUUUGGAUUACUAACAUGGAGGAAGGCAAAAGAGAGGGAGACAGGAUGAGAGUUUAGGUAGUAUCGCCUACAGCCGGUGUCACAUUUGAGAUAACUGUUGCUGUCUGGUAACUGUAACUGACAAUCUUACUAAGGUGAACAAUCACGCUUUGCACGUAAAAAUAACUUGAAAUGUCACUUUAUAAAUCCUACAUCAGUCUUUAAAAGUCAUGGUCUUUUUCAGGAUCAUUCCACUUCCACGAACCAGAGUGAAGAAGGAAAGGAAAGGAAAAGAAAGCAAAGGAAAGGAAAGGAAAGGAAACAAAACGAUACCAAACCAUACCAUACGAAAAGAAAAGAAACAAAAGGAAACAAUAUGAAAGGAAACGAAAUGAAACAAAACAAAAUGAACCACAAGAAAAGGAAAGGAAAGGACACAAAAGGAAAGGAAAGGAAAGGAGAUGAUACGAAAUGAAAUGAAAUGAAAAGCAAGGAAAGGAAGGGAAAGGAAAGGGAACUAAAUGAAAGGAAAGGAAACGAAACAAAAGCAAAUGAAAGGAAUGAAAAGAAAGUGAAGGAAAAGGAAAGGAAAGGAAACUAAACUAAACUAAACUAAAUGAAAGGAAAGGACACGAAAGGACAUGAAAGGAAACAAAAGGAAAUGAAAAGAAAUGAAAGGAAUGAAAGGAAAUGAAAGGAAAAGGAAAGAAAAAAGAAGGAAUGAAAAGAAACAGAAAGAAACGAAUCGAAAGGAAAGGAUAAAAUAAGAUAGGUUAGAUAAGAAAAAUGGGUGACGUAGAGAUAGGAUAGGAUGAAAUAGGGUAAAUUAAAAAAUGGUUUGAUUGACUGAGUCGGAAAUCAUAAUUUGAAAACUAAUGAAAUCAAGUGUCUUCAGAUGCUAACAGAUUAGAUCAGGGCCAAAAUAUGAUUGGAUGGAUAGGAAAAGGUGAGUAAGAGGAACGUUUGAUGGGAAAGGAUAGGACAUGAACAAGAAAAGAAGAGUGCAUGAGAUAGGGUGAGAUAGGGCAAGAUGAGUUUGUGUCAUAAUAAAUGUGGAAAAAUAAGGUAGGAUCAAAGUGGAUAUGGUUACAUAGGGAAGCUCGAGGUCAGAUAGGAUCAUACUGGAUCAGAUCAGACAGGUUCUGUUUAGAUUUGAAAGGCUCAGCUUGGAUGGAAUAGAAUAUAAUGAAAUAGUGUGAAAUACACUCAAAAUAAUUACAACAGGAUCAAUGUUGUGUUCGAGCAGGGUUAAGCAUGCAGACUAUGUGCUUACUCUGAUCGUAAAUAAACUGCAAAAACAAAGGCAACAGGAUCAGAACAGCAGAACAGCAUAGGGUCAGAUUUUCAUAUUGACAAGGAUAAAUCACCAUAUAAUGAGACCAGAAAUGAGAGAUACUGGAGAAUAAAUAACAGGAGAGAUAAUUUAGCUUUUGAAAAAGUCCAUACCUGUAUGUGUGACACUUAAGUGAUUUGUGGAACAGUAGACAGAAGAGAUAUGACUCAUUGUUCACACCUGGAUCAGGAUGAUAAAUUCCCAAAUUCUUUCAGAGGUGAUUCGAAACCUGUAAUCACUGCUUCUGAAGACACAAAAACAGAUCAUUAGACAGCAGCCACCCUGAUAAUCGACUCAUCCUGGAUGAUGUCAGGACCUCCACAGGGGAAAACCAGCGAAAGGGUGAUGUCAUGGGCUCAAAUCUAUUGAUGUCCAAAGCUGCACAUUGGUGUCUGGGAGCCUGAUUGGAUUUGGCGACGACCACAAUGGAUGAUGUCAUCCAUCUCACUUGGAAAUGGCCCAAUUGUGCCAUGGGCCCUGCCUGUGUGAAUGAUGAACUGUGCUAAUAGCAACUCUGUUAGAGCUAAUGCUUAGUGACAAGGAGAAAGCCUGGCAGUAGAAAGAAAGAAGAGAGCUGCACAAAAUGAGGGCUGCUUUAGCAGGAAAUGUAGCUGCCUUCAGGCUGUCUUUUGACCUGUUCUUGUUAGUUUUGAAUAAAAUACUCCUACUGUGAUAGUGCAAGCCUCCAGAGCACUGUGCUGAAGUGUCUCGUAUGGCAAAGUGGGAGAAUGUUAUGGUUGUAAAUCACAGACAAGCCUUCAAAGGCACUGGCUUGCCUUUUAUGACAGCCAGCACUCAGUCCAGAACAGUGUGUAAGAUUGGUGUUGAACAGAGUGUGACAGUCUAUGAGACAGAGUCAGAUACAAAAAUGUACUCUCACUGUAUACUGUUGGUCUGUGUAGCUGAGAUUUGUCAUAGGAAGUGUAGGAUUGACUGAGUCGCACUUACCCCUCCUCUCUCCACCAAUCUGAAGUGACAGAGAUGGAGACGGAGUGUUUCAGCAGAGGAAACCCAUCUGUCACCCUAGCAACUGGGGGAGAAGGAGGGGUAAUCCAACAGAGACACAGCACAGGCCUGUCAAUCAUGCCACCUCCUGGAGCUUCUGGUUGUGAAGGGAGAGGAUGAAGAGUGGAUCAGUAUUAAGGUAAGGACAGGCAGGAAGAAGAGGUGCGCAGUGACUAAAAUGUAACACAGAACAUUUGAUGAUAUAUUACUCUGUGCACCUGGACUGUUGUUAAACUCACUGAGCAUAACACAUGCUGAAUUGAAUUGCUUUUUGGAUCUCACAAAGUCAUGUCCAGAGAUAUUCUUGUUACUGCUUCAGAAUCAAUACUGAAAAAAAAUCAAUGUUUGAAAGAGAAAUAGCUCUCUGUUGGUUUAGAGUGAUCUUUUAAAGCUGGUCAAAGGUUCUUGGACAGAUGCCAUUUAAUAUAAACCUCUCAGAUUUGGAAGAGCCUUCAUUAUUUUUAACCCCGGGUAAUUUUUUGACAGACGAAACUAGGCUUAGACAUCAAGAACCAGUUUCAACUUGGACCCAGUUUUGAAUGCCUGAGAUUCGUGGAUUCAACAAGUCACACGAAUUUUGGUUCCACUUUUAGGUUCAUGACGGCUGCAAAAAUCUUUCGGGACUAAUAUUUAGAGAGAUCGACAGUAGCUGUCCAACAAAGUCUAACUCAUGGACUUGAAGUGUGGAUGUUCUGUUAUUAUUUGUGAAGUAGUACAUAAACAAAAUUGUGAGAGAAAUCAUGCAAAGAUAAUGACAUAGUGCAGAUGCAGUUGCACAAACAUUUCAGACAGUAUGGGGAAAACUGUCACAUCAUAUCACAUCAACAGACUCAUUUUCCAUUUAUAUGUAGAAUUGUUAUCUCUCUAUCCACCUACAUUGUACUGUACAAUUUGUAUCAAUCAUUUUGUACCAUGUCAUAUCAUAUUGUUUCUCAUCGCAUCAUGUUGCACCAUAUCACAUAGUAACGUAGAGAACAUAUUUUUCAUAUCAUUUCAUUAUCUUGUGUUUUCUACAAUAUUGUAUAGUUUUGUAAUUGAUUGUAUCCUAUUGAAUAGUACCACAUCAGUCUUAUGGUGUCCUGUUUAAAAGACUAUGGUGCCCUAAACUAAGUUGUUAAAGUUUAAUAUUGUGUAGAAUAGUAUAGUUACAGAAAAUUAAAACUAAAGUAAACGUUUUGGAUGAAGAAACAAGCUAGUGAUUUCAGGUGAUUCCGUGUUAUCAAAAAGAAGGAAACUAGAGAAAAAUGGGAAUUAUUAAUUUGUAUGAUGUAAAUACUAAAACAUGCCCACAUUACCAUGACAACUUAGCAAAGCUGACUUCAACUUUGAUGAAAAUAACAUGGUGGGAGUUCAUCUUCAGAACCACUUAGCUAUUUUGAUUCAGACUGAAAUUUCUCUUUCUUUAGAUCAGAUAACCUCAGUGUUACCUGAACAACAUUCCUUAUAAGAAAUCUUUAUAAAAUACCUCAACAUCCACUGGCGGAAAAUUUACAGCGAUUUAUUUAGGACAAAUUCAGACAGUUUUUGGUUCCUCCUUGAUUCAAUAUCUGGUGAUAUCUAAAAGUUGAAUUUUGUGGUUUUGAGUGAAAUCACUCCAGACACGAAUUAAAGGUUGAACAUAUGGCAGAUUGUGAUCUCUAACCUCUGCACCAAUAAAGUUGUGUUUAAUACUCAUGAGUAGGACCUAAAACUGUCAAUCGUUUAUUUUCAAAAAGUGUGUUUGUGGUGUUGAAUGCAAAAAGGAUUUGUAGUUUAGUGUACCACUGAAACAGGAGGAUGAAAAAAAGAAAAUGCUCCACAGCUUUUGUUAUUUAUAAGGCAUGUGCUGACAAUAAUAUGCAGUAAUGAAAUAUCUGCCACUGAACAUAAUAACUUCUUCUUUGAUCUCAACCUGUUAACGUUUGGUGAUAGUAAUAUUUCAAGCAUUAGUUCCUCCACAACAUGUGGUCUGAAGCCUUAGGAGAUACAGUACAUGGUACCAAGACUACAAGCUGUCAACAUGGAUUCCAGGAGCUUCACAGUGACCUUGUAUGAACCGAUAAGUCCUGUAUCCUCCCGCUCCAUCUCAGUGUCAGCAUAAGACAUGACACAUGUCAAAAACCGUUAGGCACAGCCAUGUCAGAGGAGCUCAAAUAAAACACACACGUGCCCUGAAAUUAUUGUAUGCAAAGACAAGCAACAGAAAAAGAUUCAUGAGGCUGUUUCACAAACCAGGGUACUCUUCUUCUCUCUUUAGUCCUGCUAAAUAUUGCAGCUGGCAUGGAUUAGGAUCAGCUCUGUUUGUGUUUCUGCGUCUUUGAUGAGGAGUGCAGACGUCAACGGAAGCAUCAAAUAAUCCUGUUCUUGUCUGAAAACAUCCGAGGAGCUGGACUAUUGCCAUACAUGAGUAAUUUUAUGCUUCAUGAAGUGAAAUUUCUUGGUAUGAUUUAUUAUUGUUUAUGACAGGAGGACAAAUCUCAACCCCACGUCCUUCAGCAGAGCACAUUUCCCACUAUGAGGCCAUGUAAUCCUCUGAGCCCUGCUGAUCCCAGAACCACAGGGAGACCAGUAGAAACCCAUAACCCAGCCCCGUUCUGGGCAGCCAAAACAGAUCCUUUCCCCCUAGGAGUCCUGAUACAGACACAGAGGGGAUAAUGGCCUCCUUUUGAAAAGUCAGUGUGUGGUACAUUGCCAUAACAUCAGUAAUCAAAUCUUCUUUACUGACCAAAUAGCAGGGUUAAGAACUGUGUGGAAGGCCAAAUCUGGAUGCUUGUCAUCAUUUUCCUCUUAAGUUACUAAAAGCAUGAAAACCAAGCUGCAGAUAUAAGUCAAGGAUUUUGACUGCAGCCUUCAUUUCCAGAACUUAUGACUCAACUUAGACUCAAGCACUUUUGACCCAGACUUGAACUUGAGCACUGAAUGUAUUAAGACUUUAAAGCUGAAGAGAAGAAUUCAAACUUCUUUAUUGAGACAGACUUUUAUUCUUUUGUUGUUAUUUUAGUAUAAGCCCUUUUGAUAGAGGGAUGGCAUGUGUGUGUUCACCUGCAUGCACAAUCAAAUCACGUGUUUUCUUGUUGAACGACAACUCCUGCCAGGAUGCUUUGGGAGGUGCCAAUUGUGUGUUAUGCUCGACAAUAUUUUGUAAUGAGUGCCAGGAAAGGCAGCGCAACAUGUUCAGUACAUAUUUAAGAAGCCAUGAAAAAAGGCAAGGGACAAAUUCAAACUUUUACAGACAUCUGUCCAGCAUACAGCCAGACAAAGACAAUGAGAUGCUGUAGGUAGCACGUUUAUAGUAUGUUACUGUUGACACAGUCAUGUCAGUAACCAAGAGGAAUCAACCCAGUGAUCUCCAGAGUUUGGGCUGUAAAAUUCUGAUUGAUAGCAUUGAUAGUGUAAUUUCAAGUCACCUGCAGUAACCCAACUUCAUAAUACAAGAACUUUAUUUAUCCCCGAAGGGCAAUUCAUUAAAAUCAACUUCAUGUAUAAGAAUUGAUGAGUGUGUCCUCUUACUGAAAUGCAUUUACGCACAAUGCACAGCACUGUUACUCGUGCCAGACAUGCUGACAGGAUCUGUCAGCAUCUAAUGUAAAUCGAUGAAAUGUGUUUUCAAUUCAUCCCAAAGGUCCCACACAGUCAGCUGAGGUUUAUACAGUGAAGAGUUUCAGGCAAAGCAGCGGUCCUCCUUUCAAUAAACAACAUCAAUAAUGGGGAUUCAACUCUAACCCGCAGACUCAGAUUCUUUUAUGGACUUGACUCAGACUUUAACUCUGAGGAUUCAACUUGGACUCAACAUUUAGUGACUCAACACUGGCAUGCACAGAAGAGGAGAGAAAAAGUCAUAGUGAUAAAGGUUUCUCAUACACCCCCUUAAAAAUGUUAGAGACUUACUCUGAACCUUUAAACAAAGAAACCUUUUUAAAACAAUUAACACUUUCCCCCUCCAUUUUAUUCUCCUUUACAGCCUACCUACCUUUGUUGCUGACUGCAUAACAGUUACAGGAUCAUUUUUGUCGCCAACUCUGGAACACUGACUUGACAUUUAUGUGAUGAACAGGAAUAUUGUCUGUCAAAUCUGCAAAUAAUGUGAUUAUUUUAGUCUGUUCUGUACACACAGUAUCUGUUGAAUACCACUCAGUCAAUAAAUGGGGAUCUCCUCUGAAAAAAACUCACUUGUGUUUCCAUUUUUUUCUUUGUUUUGUAGAUUUUUGUGGAAUCAGUGAAAGGGCUGCAGAUUUUAAGCCAUAUCACACAAAUGUUAAUGAUGAUUUGGGGAUGCAAGACGUAUUUGGACCUGAAAUGAUAUCCUUGGUCUGAGCCUGUAGAAUUCUGUAUCUCUGUUCUUGACGUGGGUCCCUCUGGCUUUAUUACAUCCACUAGAUCCUCACUUACCAGAUUUACCAGCCAGAAGGGAAGGGGGGGUGCUCAGGCUGGAAGUGUCAGACAACCCUCCCUUUCUUUUCCAACUAUCACAAAAGAGUGCUCUUCUUUUGUCACCUCUUUCAGUCUGUCUCUCUCUUUUUAAAAGGGGCACAUAGGGCGAUGGCGUACAGACUGGGCUAUUCGCCCGCGGAGACAGAGAGGCGCCGGGGGAAAUGAAGACCGAUUCCACCAGCAUGGCAGACUGGACUUGGAUCUGGUUCCAAGAACACUUGCACUCUUCACGAGUAGCUGUGGACAAACAAAUGACAGAAAGCACCGUCUCUUAACUCUCGCAGAGGCAAAGCUUUCAGAAUCU